rnacentral:tRNA from 1 species
GGAGAUUGUAGCUCAGCUGGUUAGAGCGCCUGAUUGUGGUUCAGGAGGUCGCGGGUUCGAACCCCGUCUUUCUCCCCC